GACGAACGCUGGCGGCGUGCUUUACACAUGCAAGUCGAACGGAAAGGCCCCUUUGGGGGUACUCGAGUGGCGAACGGGUGAGUAACACGUGAGUAACCUGCCCUUGACUUCGGGAUAACUUCAGGAAACUGGGGCUAAUACCGGAUAGGAAUCCUUGCUGCAUGGUGGGGGUUGGAAAGCUUCGGCGGUUUUGGAUGGACUCGCGGCUUAUCAGCUUGUUGGUGGGGUAGUGGCUUACCAAGGCUUUGACGGGUAGCCGGCCUGAGAGGGCGACCGGCCACAUUGGGACUGAGAUACGGCCCAGACUCCUACGGGAGGCAGCAGUGGGGAAUAUUGCACAAUGGGCGGAAGCCUGAUGCAGCAACGCCGCGUGCGGGAUGACGGCCUUCGGGUUGUAAACCGCUUUCAGCAGGGGCGAAGCUUGUGGUGACGGCACCUGCAGAAGAAGCACCGGCUAACUACGUG
rnacentral:rRNA from 1 species